rnacentral:rRNA from 1 species
GAUGAACGCUGGCGGCGUGCCUAAUACAUGCAAGUCGAGCGAACAGACGAGGAGCUUGCUCCUCUGACGUUAGCGGCGGACGGGUGAGUAACACGUGGAUAACCUACCUAUAAGACUGGGAUAACUUCGGGAAACCGGAGCUAAUACCGGAUAAUAUAUUGAACCGCAUGGUUCAAUAGUGAAAGACGGUUUUGCUGUCACUUAUAGAUGGAUCCGCGCCGCAUUAGCUAGUUGGUAUGGUAACGGCUUACCAAGGCAACGAUGCGUAGCCGACCUGAGAGGGUGAUCGGCCACCCUGGAACUGAGACACGGUCCAGACUCCUACGGGAGGCAGCAGUAGGGAAUCUUCCGCAAUGGGCGAAAGCUUGACGGAGCAACGCCGCGUGAGUGAUGAAGGUCUUCGGAUCGUAAAACUCUGUUAUUAGGGAAGAACAAAUGUGUAAGUAACUAUGCACGUCUUGACGGUACCUAAUCAGAAAGCCACGGCUAACUACGUG